AAUUCUCAAAGCUCUGCUUUGGAUUUGAAGACUGCUGGCUUACUCCAGAGUCAGCUUCUUUGAAAUGCAUUAGUAGGAUCAUCAUGCUGGAUCGAUACAGGUGUGAUAAGAUAUCACCAUCUGAGAUUAGGCAAGAAUUCCUGCUCAUAAUAUACUUUUGUAUUUGAC
rnacentral:misc_RNA from 1 species